GAUGAACGCUGGCGGCGUGUCUAAUACAUGCAAGUCGAGCGAACAGACGAGGAGCUUGCUCCUCUGACGUUAGCGGCGGACGGGUGAGUAACACGUGGAUAACCUACCUAUAAGACUGGGAUAACUUCGGGAAACCGGAGCUAAUACCGGAUAAUAUAUUGAACCGCAUGGUUCAAUAGUGAAAGACGGUUUUGCUGUCACUUAUAGAUGGAUCCGCGCCGCAUUAGCUAGUUGGUAAGGUAACGGCUUACCAAGGCAACGAUGCGUAGCCGACCUGAGAGGGUGGUCGGCCACACUGGAUCUGAGGCACGGUCCAGACUCCUACGGGGGGCAGCAGUAGGGAAUCUUCCGCAAUGGGCGAAAGCCUGACGGAGCAACGCCGCGUGAGUGAUGAAGGUCUUCGGAUCGUAAAACUCUGUUAUUAGGGAAGAACAAAUGUGUAAGUAACUAUGCACGUCUUGACGGUACCUAAUCAGAAAGCCCCGGCUAACUACGUG
rnacentral:rRNA from 1 species